rnacentral:rRNA from 1 species
AGUGAACGCUGGCGGUAGGCCUAACACAUGCAAGUCGAACGGCAGCACAGUAAGAGCUUGCUCUUACGGGUGGCGAGUGGCGGACGAGUGAGGAAUACAUCGGAAUCUACUUUUUCGUGGGGGUUAACGUAGGGAAACUUACGCUAAUACCGCAUACGACCUACGGGUGAAAGCAGGGGAUCUUCUGACCUUGCGCGAUUGAAUGAGCCGAUGUUGGAUUUGCUAGUUGGCGGGGUAAAGGCCCACCAAGGCGACGAUCCGUAGCUGGUCUGAGAGGAUGAUCAGCCACACUGGAACUGAGACACGGUCCAGACUCCUACGGGAGGCAGCAGUGGGGAAUAUUGGACAAUGGGCGCAAGCCUGAUCCAGCCAUACCGCGUGGGUGAAGAAGGCCUUCGGGUUGUAAAGCCCUUUUGUCGGGAAAGAAAAGCAGCAGGUUAAUACCCCGCUGUUCUGACGGUACCCAAAGAAUAAGCACCGGCUAACUUCGUG